UUGAUCCUGGCUCAGAAUCAACGCUGGCGGCGUGCCUCAGACAUGCAAGUCGAACGAUUAAAGCUCCCUUCGGGGAGUGCAUAAAGUGGCGCACGGGUGUGUAACACGUAAGUAAUCUACCUUCGAGUGGGGAAUAACGUUCGGAAACGUACGCUAAUACCGCAUAAUGCAGCGGCAUCGCAAGAUGACAGUUGUUAAAUAUUUAUUGCUUGAAGAGGAGCUUGCGGCAGAUUAGCUAGUUGGUAAGGUUAUGGCUUACCAAGGCUACGAUCUGUAUCCGGUCUAAGAGGACGGUCGGAUACACUGACACUGAAUAACGGGUCAGACUCCUACGGGAGGCAGCAGUCGGUAAUUUUGGGCAAUGGGGGAAACCCUGACCCAGCAACGCCGCGUGAAGGAUGAAGUAUUUCGGUAUGUAAACUUCGAAAGAAUAGGAAGAAUAAAUGACGUUACUAUUUAUAAGCUCCGGCUAACUACGUGCCAGCAGCCGCGU
rnacentral:rRNA from 1 species